GUGAGGGGGUAUCUUGUUAGGAUAAGAUAAAAUUAGUUAGGGGUUGUUAUUUUUUGUUCUUUUAUGAGGAAUAAUUACACGAUUGGUGGUGCACGGUAGGAUAAGGUAAAAAUAGAAAAAUUAAUCUUUCGGAGGGAUAAAAUUACGUGUCUACAAUAUUUUGGUGAGAUAUUUUAGGAGCAUUUAGAAAUACAAUUUUUGGGUAUUUUUGAAUUUGUCACGGUGCAACUGGAUAGGUCAGAUUUCAAAAUGUCUCCUAAUGCUUGAAAUCCAGCAGGAUAAGAAGGAUAAGCUUCAUGUUUGGGUGCAAGAGGAAAUCCUCAAAUUUACAAUGCUUGAUUUUUCUACUAUUAUCGAUCUUAAAUAUACCGGUAAUAUUGAGGAUUAUAUGUAUACUUUAUCAUCAAAAUCAGCGUUGUUGUUGAAGUAUUUUCCCGACAAUAAAGGAGCAAUAACUAGGUCUAAACUGAUAACACGUUUGGAGAUGGAAAACUUUGAUAAAUCUGAAGAUGCUCUCAACCUGGCGAUAUUGUAUUUUGUUCAUACAUUCAUGUUUUCUCAGCAUAAGAAAGCACCAACCAGUGUAGCUCACUUUCAGAUGGUCAAGGACAAGAGGUACAUUCACUUUCCAUGGGGUAAGGUUACUUUUGAAAAGUUAAUGAGUUCCUGGUAGUAGGAUUUCAAUAUCGAGAAGAAGUUAUAUUCAUUGGGUGGAAUGCCGCAUGCUCUAAAUGUUUGGAUCUUUGAGUGCUGCUCCGAGGUAGAAUAAAAAACUGUUAUCCGUCAGAGAAAUGCAAUCCCAAGAAUUCUAAACUGGUCUGUGGAGUGUGUAAGGCGUCAGUACGAAGCUUUUAUGACGGACAUGUUCAGUAAGCAUUCAUACAAAAAUAUACAGCCUACAACCGAAGAAGUUAGUAGGUUGGAUUUGUCCUUUUCUGAAGAUCUUCAGAAAGUUGAUCCAGCAGCUUCUACUUCAACAUCUAUUGCUGGAACGCUGAAAAGGACAGAAGAUAAAUUUCAACAUGUUGGUACCAUUGCUGAAGAAUUUGGUGAUUUUAGCACUAUACCAUCGCGUGAAAUUCUCAUAAAGGCUGGUUUAGCUUCGCCUGAAUCACCUGAGCUACCUUUGAAGAGAAGAAAGGCGGUGAUGUUUCAGCAAGAUAGUCCAGCGAUUGUGGUGGAUGAUACAUGUACACGUGAUAGACCGGUACAUAAUGUGUCUGAUUUGCAUAGUGAAACACAAAAGGAUGCAGUACACAAAGGAAAAAUUGGUGUGUCUGUAUAUGAACAUCAUCAACAAGGAGAAAUUGGUGUGUCUCCUGAGCGUUACCAACACAAAUCUGUUCCUUCUUAUUCCACACAGCCUGAGGGGACUUCAAAAUCAAGUUUAGAUGGUGAUGAAAGAAAGAAUUACAUCAAUCAAUGUGUUACUGAAAAGAUGGCUGAGUUGGUUACUCUAAUAACAAGAAUACCGGCCGAGGUCGUCAAAGCAUUGAAGAAUGAAGAAAAUAAGUAAUCACAGGAGGUUAAAAUUACUGCUCAACAACAAAGUCAAUAAAACGGAUCCGACAAACAUCCGAGUCCAUCUAAGGAGGAUAUGAAGGAAGGUUAUUAUAAGGGAAGUGUCAACGGUAUAAAAGCAUCUCGUGAUGAAGAAAAUAAUAACGACCAGAGGAUUGAAGAGCAAGAGAUCCUGGUAAUACCAUUAACCUAUUUGAAUUACAUUUAUGUAAUAUGUAAUAACAAGUAGCGUCCACCUUACACAUACAUGUCGUAACUAUUAUUAUGUUUAUACAUUCAUAUGUUAUAUUUAUACCUUUCACAUCUUUACGGUUCCAUAUAGGAUGAAGAUGGUGGGACAGUAACUGACGCAAUUCAGGAAGCUGUAGAUUCAAUUUUAUUUGGCUUCUCAACUCCUUCGUCUACAAAGUCAUUAGGUGUUGGACCAUCAAAAAAAAUGAAUGAAAGCAAAUGGGACCUUCCAGACAGUCAGAUUCCACCUGAUUUCCCUGAUGCUCAAGUUCGGGAGCUUGAAGCCACAAAAGUGAAAGCACCUGGAAAAAGGGAAAGAAAGAAGCCUCGGACUUUAAGGUCUCCAUACAUUACAAAUGAAGUUUCUACCUGUAACGAUGCGGCUGAUUCUGAAAAAAAGGAGAAACUGAAGUAUGUUUCGAGGGCUACACCAUUAACCAAGAAUUGCCAAACGAAUUGAUUUUUGAUUACUCCCAGUGGAUCACCACAGGAUUACUGAAAACUCAUUAUGCCAAGUAAGAAAUUUCGUAUUCCUUUUUUCCUAAAAAUACCAUGCCAACAUAAAUAUCUGUGAUGUCUAAGCAAUGAUGAUUUUUCAGGAAAGCAUCGGACAACCACUAUCGAGUUAACCUAAUCUCGAAGCAUUAAUAUAUAAUACCUAAGAUGUUAGACAUGUAUGAGGGUAACUAAUUCAUUUACAAAUAAAUUGCAUUAAUGUAUAAUAAAAUCAAUAGUAACCACUCUUGAAUUGCACUUGUAUGGGGUAACUUAUAUAUCUACCAAUUCAUACACUACAGAAAAAAUCAGGUUUAGCAACGGAUUUGUAGCAACAAGCACUUUUUCGUCGCUAAUUAACUACAGAAUUGCAACAAAAUAGAUUUUUUGUAGCUAAAUAAUUGAAAAUAAAAUUAGUAACCUAAUUAGCGAUAGAUUAGCGACAAAAAGUAUAAUCCGUUGCUAUAUUUUGACGGUAAGUAUUGGCACGUUUAUUUUGGUGACAAAAUUAGCGACAUAAAAAGGGAGAAAUUUUUUUUGACAUGGUGGAGACGGAAAUAGCAAUGAAAUUUUUUUCACUAGAAUUAUUUUACCAUUUUUAAAAAAUAUUUUUUUUUUUAAAUAAUUAGCAACGGAUUUGGCACCCAUUGCUGAAUCCGUCACCCUACCAAAUAAAUAUUAAGGCAAAGUCUUUUAUUUCACUUUGUUCCCAACACAUUGUAUCCUCCGCCUCUCUCCAAAAACUGUCUCUCCUUUCCCUUUUCUCUCCAUUGUCUCUCAAUUGAAAAAAGGGAAUCGCUCAAUAUCAAUCGAAAAGGGAAUUAAUCACUCAAUUUCAAAUUUAAGUUAGAGGUACGAUUCUAAAUCUCGUAAUGUGAGUUGUUUUUACCUCUUUCAAUUUCUUAAUUUCUAUGUUAGAUUUCACUUGUAAAUGAUAGGUUUAGGGUUGUUUGAGCUCUUUCACUUGGGGUUGUUCGAUUAUUGUGUUAAAAAGUUUGAUAAAUGGUUAUUUACUUGAAAUGGGAAUCGAAUUUUUUCUCAGAAUUUCUGUUUGUGGUUUUUUUAAACUUGAAAUGGUAGGUGUUGUUGGGGGAGCUGUACUACUUGUGGUGUUUUUGGCAGUUUUCCUUCUCUUCUUUUGUAGAAGAUCACAGCAUACAUACACGUCACGAUGUGGAUCGGUACAUGUUUUCCAAAGUUGUGCAAGAUAAUGCACAACCCAAUAUUUCUGAUGAGCUCCUGGAAAAUGCUAGUAAGUUAUAGUUUGACUUCAUUUUCAUGUCAACUCUAAAUAGGCAGAUUUUCUGCAGAAAAGUUUCUAAGCCAAUUACUUAAGUUUUCAGUGGAUUUAAUUAGAGUUUCUUUAACUUAUUUUACCUCAGAAAUCAUUUCUCAAGAAUUAGCACUUGGAUCACAAGGUGCUCCAUCAUAUCGGGUGUUCUCCAUGGAAGAGUUGGAAGAAGCGACAGAAUAAUUUGAUAAAUCAGCAUUGCUCGGUGAAGGCUCCAUUGAAACCCAAAUUAAUUUAGAAAAAGGGCUCAGUAUAUUGUUUUCUUGCAUAUAUCUAUUCAAAAUUCAUGUUAUAUUUUGUCGGAGGAUAAACUUUUUAUUGCUAAUUUUGUUAUCAUCCAUGUGGUGCCAUAGUAUUCCUAUAGGUCUUGAUCUCCGUGAUUAAUUGACACAACUAAAUUAGUUUUUCAGGUAGUUUUCAUUGAAUAACUCAAAUCAGACAAUUAAAUAGAUGCACAACUCGCCAAGAUAAGCAGUUGAUUAAAUAAUUUUUUUUGCCUUUAUUAUGUAUUGUCUAUGUGCAUAAGUGUUAUAUGCAUCUCGACUUUGCAUUUUGUACCAUAUAAUGUUGAUUAAAAUUAGGAGUAAUGCAUAUUUUGAUUUGUUAGCUAUUGAAAUUUGACAAUUAAUAUCACUAAAGCGAGGCACUUAAGUCGUUUACUUAAAGUUCAUAUGCAGUGAGUUGACAUCUUUUCAAGCCUUCUUUCCCAGGCUUUAUUUUUUUUUUGGCUCAAAGUUAGACUAUUUGGUUUAGCCAACAACUUGUAUGCCAUAUCUUUCCAUAUUAGAUGUACAAGGGAGAAUUAGAGAAUGGAACCUAUGUUGUUGUAAGGGAAUUGGUUGUUUAUAGACGAUGCACUAGUUGGAACUUCAAACUUCAAAUGAAUUUGCUUUCAAAGUUUCGCCAUCAGUAUUUAGUUAGCUUUCUGGGUCCUACCCUCCCCAUUUUCCACUUGUAGAUUAUGUGUUGCGUAAAUCAAGAUUAAUAGACCAGAAAACAAAGCCUAUUUUUUUCAUUUAGAUGCUCAUUCAGGUUGGUCUGCUUGGCUGUGAUUAUUGAUGUGGCUGUUUGGAAGUAAGCUGGCACAUAAAACCUAAGUAGAAAUAUCGGUGCACUUUUGAAGAUGGAGUACUGUUGGUAUCGGUUGUCUUGAUUCCUACAGAGUUCUGGGGAUGGGCUGGAUAAAUUCUCUAAACUAAUACAUGAGUCAAUGAAGUAGCAAUUAUAAGGGAUGCCUUGUCCUAUGCUCGGAGUGAAUCUUAAAGAUAGAGAAGCAGUAGCAGGAACAUGGAGAAAAUCCUCAAAGGUGCUGAUGGCUACAGAUUGCGUUGAUGUGCUUGAGAGAAUCGCUUCACAGCUCUUUACUACUUCACACGUGGGAGCAGCAGUUUAAUGAAGAGGAAAUCCAAGUUGUCUCUUAUCCUAAUAAGCUUUUUGCUGAUAUAAAAAGUCAGCCACUAUCUGAUACUAGUGUACCAAAUAUGGGCAUGGUUAUUAAUGCUCUGGUCUCAAGAGGCAUCAGUCUAAUGCCCUCUUCUCUUAGUCAAGUAGACACCUCUGUUUUUCAACAAUUGCCUGAGGAGUUUCUCGCAAAGUUGAAAUAGUUGCUAGAUACUCCUAAUGAACAACUCUGGCCUGGGGUGAGCAAAUUAGUUAACUGGCACGAAUACCCCCAAUGAAAACCACAACCAUUCUCAACUGUUGUAUCU